rnacentral:rRNA from 1 species
AUGCACGCUGGCGGCGUGCCUCAUCCCUGCAAGUCGCGCGCACAGACGAGGAGCUUGCUCCUCUGACGUUAGCGGCGGACGUGUGAGUAACACGUGGAUAACCUACCUAUAAGACUGGGAUAACUUAGGGAAACCGGAGCUAAUACCGGAUAAUAUAUUGAACCGCAUGGUUCAAUAGUGAAAGACGGUUUUGCUGUCACUUAUAGAUGGAUCCGCGCCGCAUUAGCUAGUUGGUAAGGUAACGGCUUACCAAGGCGACGAUGCGUAGCCGACCUGAGAGGGUGAUCGGCCACACUGGAACUGAGACACGGUCCAGACUCCUACGGGAGGCAGCAGUAGGGAAUCUUCCGCAAUGGGCGAAAGCCUGACGGAGCAACGCCGCGUGAGUGAUGAAGGUCUUCGGAUCGUAAAACUCUGUUAUUAGGGAAGAACAAAUGUGUAAGUAACUAUGCACGUCUUGACGGUACCUAAUCAGAAAGCCACGGCUAACUACGU